rnacentral:lncRNA from 1 species
CGGGGGCUCAAUUUGAUACCUUUAUGAGCUUGGAGAUACAUAUACGAGAAGAAGCUAUGUGGGCACACAAUGAAUUUCGGUGGCCCCGUGGAUCGUGGUGAUGAACCAUAUGGAACUUACUUCGAGGGAGGGAUUGUUGGGUGAGUAUAAUGAUGUGGCAGGGUGAUGGGGUGCAGGGGGCUCGAUUUGAUACCUUUACGAGCUUGGAGAUACACAUAUGAGAAGAAGCUAUGUGGGCACACAGUGACUUUUGGUGGCCCCGUGGAUCGUCGUG